AGAAUCAACGCUGGCGGCGUGCCUAACACAUGCAAGUCGAUCGAGAAAGUGGAGCAAUCCAUGAGUAAAGAGGCGCACGGGUGAGUAACACGUGACUAACCUACCUUCGAGUGGGGAAUAACCUGGGGAAACCCGGGCUAAUACCGCAUAAUACCUACGGGUCAAAGGAGCAAUUCGCUUGAAGAGGGGGUCGCGGCAGAUUAGUUAGUUGGCGGGGUAAUGGCCCACCAAGACGAUGAUCUGUAUCCGGCCUGAGAGAGCGCACGGACACACUGGAACUGAAACACGGUCCAGACUCCUACGGGAGGCAGCAGUGGGGAAUUUUGCGCAAUGGGGGAAACCCUGACGCAGCAACGCCGCGUGGAGGAUGAAGUCCCUUGGGACGUAAACUCCUUUCGACCGGGACGAUUAUGACGGUACCGGAUGAAGAAGCCCCGGCUAACUCGUGCCAGCAGCCGC
rnacentral:rRNA from 1 species